rnacentral:rRNA from 1 species
UUAUCCGGAUUUACUGGGUGUAAAGGGAGCGUAGACGGAGCAGCAAGUCUGAUGUGAAAGCCCGGGGCUCAACCCCGGGACUGCAUUGGAAACUGUUGAUCUGGAGUGCCGGAGAGGUAAGCGGAAUUCCUAGUGUAGCGGUGAAAUGCGUAGAUAUUAGGAGGAACACCAGUGGCGAAGGCGGCUUACUGGACGGUAACUGACGUUGAGGCUCGAAAGCGUGGGGAGCAAACAGGAUUACAUACCCUGGUAGUCCACGCCGUAAACGAUGACUACUAGGUGUCGGGUGGCAAAGCCAUUCGGUGCCGCAGCCAACGCAAUAAGUAGUCCACCUGGGGAGUACGUUCGC